rnacentral:lncRNA from 1 species
UAAUUUCUUUACAAAAAAAUUUAAGGAAAUGUUGCUCUUUAGGAACAACAUUUGGAAUUUGUGGGGCCAGGUGUCACUGUCACUUGAACACAGGACUGGAUCUUUCGUCCAUGCUUGAAGAGUUUGUAAGGAGACAUGUUGAACAUUGAAAACACAAGCCAAAGGAAGCGCAGCCACAUUAAGGUCGACUGGCUCGUCCAUGUGAAGGAUGGAGACGACCUGGAAGUUGAGUGAUCUCAUAGCACCAAUGCCUUGGAAGGGCAUGUGCUUCCUCUAGGAGGAAGAGCCACACAGAGCUGUCACUGCACAUCUGGAAGCCAUUUCGUUUCGUGAACGUUAAGCAGAACCUGGUGGUCAGAGCUUUAGCAGCAUCAGGUCCCGCCCUCAGCACAUGCUUCCCAUUCAGUGCCGCCAUUUCCCCACCCCUGACCAGCGUGCUCUUCUAGACGCAGUGCCAUUUCUUCCAAGUAGCUUCCUUUCUUUCCGCCUGUUGGCCACUGCUUCUAGGAAGGAGAAAGGGUCCGGAAGGAGACAAAGGGGGAAGAUGGAAAGAGCAUCUGUGACACAAGCCUGUAAAACUUCCUUCUCAAGGUGGCUCUGUUCAGCUAUCUAAGCAAGACGGUGUGACCCUCUCUGACCAGGUUGUCUACCUCCUGGAACCACACUGAUUCACACAGAAGGCAGCUAGGAUGUGCGCACCCAGUGUCCAUCCCAAACCAUCUUUAUUUUGUUCAUGAUCUCAUUCUAGCUCGGAAGCUUUGGUGGCUGUCUGUCAAUCACUGUAGCAUAAAAGGCUAAGUUAGCAGCUCGUAAAAGGUGACCCCACCACCACCACAUUUUUGCUAAAUGCUAUCUGUAAAAUACGGUAGGUUUUUUUGUUUGUUUGUUUCUUUGUUUUCUGUUUUUUGUUUUCAUUCUGAGUCACUGCAGUUUUGUCUAGUUGGGUCAGGAAACGUGUAGAAGGAACAGCUGAUGCUAAGCAGGAAUUAGAAUUACUUUAGUUUCCCCAAAGCAUGCGACUCUUCCUGUGUCUAGAGUUCUGGGCUGUGAAAGGUACCCUGAGGUGCUUUGUAGAGCCUUGGUUCGAAGCAGGAAAUGUCUCACAGUCCCCUGAGGGCUGGGUCACAGGUGGGCACCACCAUGCCUGGCUUAAAGAUGUUUCAUCUAGACUUUAUGUAUACGCACGUUGGCCCGAUUCCUGUCUCUGGUGCAGGCUUCUGCCAAGCAUUGACCUGCACUGGCUGUAUUCUGAUGUUGCAUCCUGUGAGGAUGUUAGGUAUUAAGACAUUCCAACCCCAGUGGAAAUAGUGUCCAUGGGCUGGGUGUCACUCACUGACUGCGUCAGCCAAAAUGAAGUGCAGGAGGGACUCAGAGCAGUCUUAACGUUUGAUCCCUCCUUUGUUUACACUUUAUGUUGAGACAUUGAUUUUAAAAUUCAGUCUCUAAUUUUUAGCUUAUAGGAAAGAUGAAGGAACUUGUACUAAGAAAGCAGUAUUGUUUUGUUAAAUUAUUCCAUUUUCUAUGAACUGUAGCAGGACUACACAGAAGAGCUUAAGUUAUGGCAUUAUUAUUCUUGUUUUUAUUUUAUAUUGUCAUAAUUUUCUGUUGACCAGAAGGUGUGGCUGACGAUGUAGCACAACGGCUGUUUAUUGCUAACCGUGAAUUAUUAUGGACUUCUGUGGUCCUAAGUGAAGGCUGGGGAUGGAGCUGCCUUUUGUCACUCCCAGCAUUCCUCAGUGUUUUCCCUGGUCUCCUGACUACUGUAGCAAUGGUCUGAGGAGGUGUGCUCUGCUCUGACACCCAACGGGUACACUGUGAUUCUUUUUUACUUGAUUGUAAAAGCUCCUGAAUAUGCAGGUGACCAAGUAGUUUAAAGGCUUCAAAAGUUAUAAACUUUCUAAAGUGUUAGAAUAAAAUCAUGGGACUGUAAGAGAGGCAAAAAGAGAUUGAACGGUCCAGACGGCAAGACAGAGUGUUUCUGUGAGGACUCAUGAGGUAGUUUCAAGAGUGGACAGCAAACCGGGUCAUCAUCUCCUUCUUGCUGAGUCCCACGGAUUGGGAGAAGCAGAGAGACUAACAGAGACAUGUACAACACCAGCAGGAUGUGCUUCUGUGACUGCCUCAGGUCCCUCGUUCCUGUCCCACACAAAGCGGGAGCAGCUGUCUGUCCCGUGCACACCAUUAGUGACAACAGUGAGCUCUGAAGAGCAGCUUCUGCCCGCACCUCCCAGAAAACCCACCCAGUACCUCAGCCUUCAUCAGCAUUCUGCAUUCCCACCCUGCCUGUGUGACACCCCAAGGCCACCUUAACUGGAUUCACCGUUAUGGGAUGCCACGCUAUGCCAGGGAUGUGCUGUUGAUUCCAGUCAUUUGCUAUAGCAUCAAGAUGGGAGUGAAGUCCACAUUUCUGUAGUAGAAUUAACGAGGUUUCAGGAAAGGAAAAAAAAAAAGGUCCUAAGCAAGGUUAAAAGGGAAGAACGUUCCCUACUCCACCUGCCUUGUAGGAUUCAGGAAACUCAACUGACUGUGUUUCCUUGAAAACAUUAUAGUCAUCAGAAGGGCCUCAAGUGGAGAGAUCGGGGAACAUGAGAGUUCAAUUCUUCAGUGCUGUUAGAUGCCACCAUGCUUUGGUGCUUUGAAGAUCCUUGCCAGACCAAUUUCAAGCUUCAGGACAUACUGCGAGAUGAAUGGCUACAUUCUUUGUCCAGCUUUUUUUUUUUUUUUUGACUGAUGAGUCUCAUUUUCUACUGCAAUCAAGCACUAGAUUUUUCUUUUUUCUAGAUUAUGUCCCUAAGU